rnacentral:rRNA from 1 species
ACUCCUACGGGAGGCAGCAGUGGGGAAUAUUGCACAAUGGGGGAAACCCUGAUGCAGCCAUGCCGCGUGUGUGAAGAAGGCCUUGGGUUGUAAAGCACUUUCAGUAGGGAGGAAGGUAGUGUAGUUAACACCUGCACUAUUUGACGUUACCUACAGAAGAAGCACCGGCUAACUCCGUGCCAGCAGCCGCGGUAAUACGGAGGGUGCGAGCGUUAAUCGGAAUUACUGGGCGUAAAGCGCAUGCAGGCGGCCUGUUAAGUCAGAUGUGAAAGCCCGGGGUCUUAACCUCGGAAUUGCAUUUGAAACUGGCAGGCUAGAGUCUUGUAGAGGGGUUAGAAUUUCAGGUGUAGCGGUGAAAUGCGUAGAGAUCUGAAGGAAUACCAGUGGCGAAGGCGGCCCCUGGACAAGACUGACGCUCAGAUGCGAAAGCGUGGGAGCAAACGAGGAUUAGAUACCCCGUGGUAGCGACUGA